GACGAACGCUGGCGGCGUGCCUAACACAUGCAAGUCGAGCGAGGUUGCGGAUGGGUGCUUGCACCCUGAAGCUACCUAGCGGCGGACGGGUGAGUAACGCGUGAGUAACCUGCCUUAUACAGGGGGAUAACAACGAGAAAUCGUUGCUAAUACCGCAUAAGACCACGGUAUCGCAUGGUACAGGGGUAAAAGGAGCAAUCCGGUAUAAGAUGGACUCGCGUCCCAUUAGCUAGUUGGUGAGAUAACAGCCCACCAAGGCAACGAUGGGUAGCCGACCUGAGAGGGUGAUCGGCCACACUGGGACUGAGACACGGCCCAGACUCCUACGGGAGCAGCAGUGGGGAAUAUUGGGCAAUGGGCGAAAGCCUGACCCAGCAACGCCGCGUGAAGGAAGAAGGUCUUCGGAUUGUAAACUGCUUUUGUACGGAACGAAACGGCGAGCUCUAAUACAGUUUUGCUAAUGACGGUACCGUAAGAAUAAGCACCGGCUAACUACGUGCCAGC
rnacentral:rRNA from 1 species